ACGGCUCAGUAACACGUAGUCAACAUGCCCAGGGGACGUGGAUAACCUCGGGAAACUGAGGAUAAACCGCGAUAAGUCACUACUUCUGGAAUGGGUAAUGACUAAAAUCUAUAUGGCCCCUGGAUUGGACUGCGGCCGAUCAGGCUGUUGGUGAGGUAAUGGCCCACCAAACCUGUAACCGGUACGGGCUCUGAGAGGAGGAGCCCGGAGAUGGGCACUGAGACAAGGGCCCAGGCCCUAUGGGGCGCAGCAGGCGCGAAACCUCUGCAAUAGGCGAAAGCCUGACAGGGUUACUCUGAGUGAUUUCCGUUAAGGAGAUCUUUUGGCACCUCUAAAAAUGGUGCAGAAUAAGGGGUGGGCAAGUCUGGUGUCAGCCGCCGCGGUAAUACCGGCACCCCGAGUGGUCGGGACGUUUAUUGGGCCUAAAGCAUCCGUAGCCGGUUCUACAAGUCUUCCGUUAAAUCCACCUGCUUAACAGAUGGGCUGCGGAAGAUACUAUGGAGCUAGGAGGCGGGAGAGGCAAGCGGUACUCGAUGGGUAGGGGUAAAAUCCGUUGAUCCAUUGAAGACCACCAGUGGCGAAGGCGGCUUGCCAGAACGCGCUCGACGGUGAGGGAUGAAAGCUGGGGGAGCAAACCGGAUUAGAUACCCGGGUAGUCCCAGCUGUAAACGAUGCAGACUCGGUGAUGAGUUGGCUUCUUGCCAACUCAGUGCCGCAGGGAAGCCGUUAAGUUUGCCGCCUGGGGAGUACGGUCGCAAGACUGAAACUUAAAGGAAUUGGCGGGGGAGCAC
rnacentral:rRNA from 1 species